rnacentral:rRNA from 1 species
UAAAGAGUUCUAUAACUCCCAAACCCAUGUGAACAUACCUAACGUUGCCUCGGCAGGUCGCACCUACCUUGUAGCACCCUACCCUGUAGGGCCUACCCGGGAGGUGCGGGUAAGCCUGCCGGCGGCCCACCAAACUCUGUUUGAUAUUGAAUUCUGAACCUAUAACUAAAUAAGUUAAAACUUUCAACAACGGAUCUCUUGGUUCUGGCAUCGAUGAAGAACGCAGCGAAAUGCGAUAAGUAAUGUGAAUUGCAGAAUUCAGUGAAUCAUCGAAUCUUUGAACGCAUAUUGCGCCCAUUAGUAUUCUAGUGGGCAGGACCGUUCGAGCGUCAUUUCAACCCUUAAGCCUUCGUUGCUUAGUGUUGGGAGCCUACGGUAACGUAGCUCCUCAAAGUUAGUGGCGGAGUUGGUUCACACUCUAGACGUAGUAAUUUUUUAUCUCGCCUAUUAGUUGGACUAAUCCCCUGCCGUAAAACCCCCAAUUUAUCAAGGUUGACCUCGAAUCGGUUCAGACAAACUCGCUAAAUUGAAGCAUCUUAGUCAGCGAAGGAAAAGAAACCAACAGGGAUUGCCCUAGUAACGGCGAGUGAAGCGGCAACAGCUCAAAUUUGAAAUCUGGCCCUCGG